rnacentral:rRNA from 1 species
AACGUAGGUGGCGAGCGUUAUCCGGAUUUACUGGGCGUAAAGCGUGUGCAGGUGGCUGGUUAAGUGGUGUAUGAAAUCGCCCGGCUCAACCGGGCGGGGUUAUGCCAGACUGGCCGGCUCGGGUGUGGGAGAGGGAUGUGGAAUUCCGGGUGUAGUGGUGAAAUGCGUAGAGAUCCGGAGGAACCCCAGAGGCGAAGGCGGCAUCCUGGCCCACGACCGACACUCAGACACGACAGCAUGGGGAGCGAACGGG